GUGCAAGGCGGCCGAGAAACCACUAGUGAUUGCUUUAGAUCACACCCAACAGGUCUCCCACACCCCAGCUUUUGGAUGAGGGGGGGAGUGUAGUUACAAGGUCCYGUAGGUGGAGGUGGWGAAGGAGUCUAAAGGUAUUCGUAGGUGCACCACGGAAGGAGCAUUGAAGAAACCUUUUAACCCAGAGAAAUUUCUCAUUGCAAGACCUGGAAAUUGGUAAAGGGAACAAGGUUUCCGUAGGUGAACCUGCGGAAGGAUCAUUACUGUGAUUUAGUACUACACUGCGUGAGCGGAACGAAAACAACAACACCUAAAAUGUGGAAUAUAGCAUAUAGUCGACAAGAGAAAUCUACGAAAAACAAACAAAACUUUCAACAACGGAUCUCUUGGUUCUCGCAUCGAUGAAGAGCGCAGCGAAAUGCGAUACCUAGUGUGAAUUGCAGCCAUCGUGAAUCAUCGAGUUCUUGAACGCACAUUGCGCCCCUCGGCAUUCCGGGGGGCAUGCCUGUUUGAGCGUCGUUUCCAUCUUGCGCGUGCGCAGAGUUGGGGGAGCGGAGCGGACGACGUGUAAAGAGCGUCGGAGCUGCGACUCGCCUGAAAGGGAGCGAAGCUGGCCGAGCGAACUAGACUUUUUUUCAGGGACGCUUGGCGGCCGAGAGCGAGUGUUGCGUAGACAACAAAAAGCUCGACCUCAUGGCUAUAUACAAACAUGUG
rnacentral:rRNA from 1 species